UACGUAGGGUCCAAGCGUUGUUCGGAUUUACUGGGCGUAAAGGGCGCGUAGGCGGCGUGGUAAGUCACUUGUGAAAUCUCUGAGCUUAACUCAGAACGGCCAAGUGAUACUGCUGUGCUAGAGUGCAGAAGGGGCAAUCGGAAUUCUUGGUGUAGCGGUGAAAUGCGUAGAUAUCAAGAGGAACACCUGAGGUGAAGACGGGUUGCUGGGCUGACACUGACGCUGAUGCGCGAAAGCCAGGGGAGCAAACGGG
rnacentral:rRNA from 1 species